GGAGAGGUCGCAUAGCUCGGCUGAGUGCGCGGCAUUGGAAAUGCCGUAACCCUUUAUGGGUUCCAGGGUUCGAAUCCCUGCCUCUCCG
rnacentral:tRNA from 1 species